rnacentral:rRNA from 1 species
GAUGAACGCUAGCUACAGGCUUAACACAUGCAAGUCGAGGGGCAGCAGGAACAAAGCUUGCUUUGUUUGCUGGCGACCGGCGCACGGGUGCGUAACGCGUAUCGAACCUGCCCUAUACCCGGGGAUAGCCUUGCGAAAGUAAGAUUAAUACCCGAUGUUGUUAUUCCAUCGCAUGAUGUUUUAACCAAAGAUUUAUCGGUAUAGGAUGGCGAUGCGUGACAUUAGGUAGUAGGUGAGGUAACGGCUCACCUAGCCUACGAUGUCUAGGGGUUCUGAGAGGAAGGUCCCCCACACUGGAACUGAGACACGGUCCAGACUCCUACGGGAGGCAGCAGUGAGGAAUAUUGGUCAAUGGUCGAGAGACUGAACCAGCCAAGUAGCGUGCAGGAUGACGGCCCUCUGGGUUGUAAAACUGCUUUUAGUUGGGAAUAAAAGGGAGUACGUGUACUCUGUAUUGUAUGUACCAUCAGAAAAAGGACCGGCUAAUUCCGUGCCAGCAGCCG